rnacentral:lncRNA from 1 species
UCUAAACCAUUCUAUACAAUUCCAAAACAUACCAUCAAUUCCAUACCAUUCCAAUUUUCAUACAAUUCAUGUCAUUUAAAACAAAACUAAACGAAAAGAUAAAUAAAGAGGAACCUAUUUGUUAGUGUCGGUCAUGCUCUUAGUCGCGCUAUUCGUCCCACUUUUAGUCGGACUUUUAGUCGCUUUUUUGCCAACAUUUUCG